CCUACGGGAGGCAGCAGUGGGGGAUAUUGGACAAUGGGGGGAACCCUGAUCCAGCGACGCCGCGUGAGUGAAGAAGUAUUUCGGUAUGUAAAGCUCUGUCAGCAGGGAAGAAAGAAAUGACAGUACCUGACCAAGCAGCCCCGGCUAACUACGUGCCAGCCGCCGCGGUAAUACGUGGGGGGCAAGCGUUAUCCGGAAUUACUGGGUGUAAAGGGAGCGUAGACGGUUAAGUAAGUCUGGAGUGAAAGGCCGGGGCCCAACCCCGGGACUGCCGUGGAAACUAUUGAACUUGAGUGCAGGAGAGGUAAGCGGAAUUCCUAGUGUAGCGGUGAAAUGCGUAGAGAUUAGGAGGAACACCAGUGGCGAAGGCGGCCUACUGGACUGUAACUGACGUUGAGGCUCGAAAGCGUGGGGAGCAAACAGGAUUAGAUACCCUAGUAGUC
rnacentral:rRNA from 1 species